ACGCACGCUGGCGGCGUGCUUAACCCAUGCAAGUCGCACGGAAAGGCCCUGCUUUUGUGGGGUGCUCGAGUGGCGAACGGGUGAGUAACACGUGAGUAACCUGCCCUUGACUUUGGGAUAACUUCAGGAAACUGGGGCUAAUACCGGAUAGGAGCUCCUGCUGCAUGGUGGGGGUUGGAAAGUUUCGGCGGUUGGGGAUGGACUCGCGGCUUAUCAGCUUGUUGGUGGGGUAGUGGCUUACCAAGGCUUUGACGGGUAGCCGGCCUGAGAGGGUGACCGGCCACAUUGGGACUGAGAUACGGCCCAGACUCCUACGGGAGGCAGCAGUGGGGAAUAUUGCACAAUGGGCGGAAGCCUGAUGCAGCAACGCCGCGUGCGGGAUGACGGCCUUCGGGUUGUAAACCGCUUUCGCCUGUGAUGAAGCGUGAGUGACGGUAAUGGGUAAAGAAGCACCGGCUAACUACGUG
rnacentral:rRNA from 1 species